AAGUAUUAAAGGUCCCGCCUGCCCAGUGAAACAUCUUAAACGGCCGCGGUAUUCUAACCGUGCAAAGGUAGCGUAAUCACUUGUCUUCUAAAUAAAGACCUGUAUGAACGGCUAAAUGAGGACAAACCUGUCUCUUAUAACCAAUCAGUGAAACUGAUCUCCCAAUACAAAAGUUGGGAUAUACACAUAAGACGAGAAGACCCCGUGGAGCUUAAAACAAACUACCAAUCUAAACGACCCUGGUAUACUGUUUUGAGUUGGGGCGACUUCGGAACAAAACAAAACUUCCGAGCACAGAACCACCACUUCUAACUAAGGCCAACAAGCCUAAGUUUAACCUGACCCGGCCUCGCGCCGAUCAACGAACCAAGUUACCCCGGGGAUAACAGCGCUAUCUUCUUCAAGAGUCCCUAUCAACAAGAAGGUUUACGACCUCGAUGUUGGAUCAGGACACCCUAAUGGUGCAGCCGCUAUUAACGGUUCGUUUGUUCAACGAUUAACAGUCCUACGUGAUCUGAGUUCAGACCGGAG
rnacentral:rRNA from 1 species